UCGAAGCCUCGAUACAGAACAUCACAUCACUAGUGCUUUUGAGUUUAAGUUCCGUUCCCGUGAGUUUGUGUUUGGUUCCAAUUCCUGCUUGCCACACAGCCAUAACGUGACAGUGGACACAUUCCCAGAACUCUCAGUUAUCCGUUAUUUUUGGCUGUAUUCAUUUUCCCUUUAAUUCUGACAAGCUUCCAUUUUCCUGCCACUGAUAAGUGCAUGACACUGCUACCAGCAUGCUUCUCCAGAGGAAUGGCAUCACAAAGGUGAAGCAACUGACACAGGAUGCAGGGCUGGUGGCUGCUGAACAGGAGGCUGAACUGAAGACAAUUCUGAUACAAGAGCAGAUGCACCAAAAAGGAUGUGAAAUACUUUUUUUUUCAGAUGGCACAACGGGGAGCCCAACAGUUAUAAUGGCCGAGAUGAAGACUGUGGAGAAAUGAAGAUCAUUAAAGAUGAAAACAAAUGGAAUGACAGAGUGAAAACUUUUGGAUCUGUGAAAAGAUUGUGGAUCUGUAAUUGGCUAUCGGACUAGUAUUUUAAGCUACAGGGAAAACGGCUUAUCAUUAUGCAUGCAAGUUCAAACAAAUAUGGACAUUAAAAUCAAAUUCAAGAGAUUAAAAAAUUAUUCUGACCAUAGAAAUUGCAUAAACAUAAGGAUAAUGGCUGUAAAGUAUAUUAAUGCACAACCAAUAACAGGAAAUAUGUUGCGUUGCCACAUGUUUCCUGUUUUUGUGAACAUCUCCCUUAAUGCACUUUCCCAGCAGCCAACAAGAGUUAGCAGCACUGUGAAAUUUCUUUUACAAAGAAGGACAAGUCAGGGACUUUGCUGUGUAUUAAUAAAUUACUGCAACAGUGAAAACUGCUCAAGUGUGUGAACAAGAAAACCUCUGACUAUGUAAAACUAACAUGGUUAUAUUAAGAUGCAUUUACCAGUUUUAGCUAAAAAGUCAUGUUUGUAUAUAGUUUGCAGAUAUCCAACUGAACUUUAUUUCUCUGUAAGACAGUAUUAGCGUACUACUACAUACUAAAUAAUAACAAUUGUAACAAUAUUUUGUUGCCAAGACAACAAUGUGGCAGGCAGAGUACUUUGAUGUGUUACUCAUUAAGUAAACUUCUUGCUGUGGUUAGCACUGUAACCUCAGAUAAAUUUGGCAAAGCCGUUCUGAAUCAGCCAUUUUUACUAAUAAACUGUA